rnacentral:miRNA from 1 species
CAUUGCACUUGUCUCGGUAUGA